GACGAACGCUGGCGGCGUGCUUAACACAUGCAAGUCGAACGGAAAGGCCCUGCUUUUGUGGGGUGCUCGAGUGGCGAACGGGUGAGUAACACGUGAGUAACCUGCCCUUGACUUUGGGAUAACUUCAGGAAACUGGGGCUAAUACCGGAUAGGAGCUCCUGCUGCAUGGUGGGGGUUGGAAAGUUUCGGCGGUUGGGGAUGGACUCGCGGCUUAUCAGCUUGUUGGUGGGGUAGUGGCUUACCAAGGCUUUGACGGGUAGCCGGCCUGAGAGGGUGACCGGGCAGAUGGGGACGGAGAGACGGCCGCGAAUGCGACGGGAGGCAGCAGGGGGGAAUAGUGCACAAUGGGCGGAAGCCAGAUGCAGCAACGCGGCGGGGGGGAGGACGGGCGGCGGGUGGUAAACCGCUGUCGCGUGAGACGAAGAGUGAGUGACGGGAAUGGGGAAAGAAGAACAGGAUAACUAAGGG
rnacentral:rRNA from 1 species